GAUGAACGCUGGCGGCGUGCUUAACACAUGCAAGUCGAACGGAAAGGCCCAAGCUUGCUUGGGUACUCGAGUUGCGAACGGGUGAGUAACACGUGGGUGAUCUGCCCUGCACUUCGGGAUAAGCCUUGGAAACUAGGGCUAAUACCGGAUGGUACUAUGUUUUGGAUGCCAUUGUGGAAAGAUGUUGCGGUGUGGGAUGAGCUGGCGGCCUAUCAGCGUGUUGGUGGGGUAAUGGCCUACCAAGGCGUCGACGGGUAGCCGGCCUGAGAGGGUGUAAGGCGACAUUGGGACCGAGAGACGGCCCAGACUCCGACGGGAGGGAGCAGGGGGGAAGAUUGCACAAUGGGCGCAAGCCUGAUGAAGCGAGGUCGCGUGGGGGAUGACGGCCUUCGGGGUGUAAACUCCUUGCGAUAGGGACGAAGCGUUUUUGUGACGGUACCUGGCGAAGAAGCACCGGCUAACUACGUG
rnacentral:rRNA from 1 species